AUGACGAAUGGGCAUUCCGCGGACAAGCAUUUCCAUUAUCUCCUCUCGUGCUUCCGGGCCAGAGUGAGAAGGUACAUCGAGGUGGAGCCCGUGCUGGACUACCUGACCUUCCUGCCUGCGGAGGUGAAGGAGCAGAUCCAGAGGAGGGUCACCACCCACGGGAACAUUGGCGCCGCGGAGCUGCUCCUGAGCACCUUGGAGAAGGGGGCCUGGCCCCCGGGCUGGACCCGCGUAUUCGUGGAGGCCCUCCGGCGAGCAGGCAACCCCCUCGCCGCCCGCUACAUGGACCCUGAGCUCAAGGACCUGCCCUCUCCCUCCAGCGAGAACGCGAACGAUGAGUGUUUCCAACUGCUGACCCUCCUGCAGCCCACCCUGGUGGAGAAGCUGCUGGUCAGAGAUGUCCUGGAUAGGUGUGUGGCGGAGGAGCUGUUGACCGUUGAAGACAGAAGCCGGAUUUCUGCUGCAGAAAAAAAUGGGAACGAGGCAGGUGUGAGAGAGCUCCUGAGAAGGAUUGUGCAGAAAGAAAACUGGUUUUCUGUGUUUGUGACUGUUCUGAGGCAAACGGAGAAUGAAGCGCUUGCCCAGGAGUUAACAGGCACCGACAGCAAUGCAGGAAGUGAGAAUUCAUCACAAGAAGACAGUCCUGAAGAUAAAGAGCCACUUCUUUUAGCCACAGAUCAGUCAAGUCCAGAGAAAGAUGCCUGGGACAUUCAAAGCAAUUCAGUGGAAUCAUCUUUUACGGAUUCUUCUGUAGUCUCAGAAUCAGACACAAGUUUGGCAGAAGGAAGUGUCAACUGCUUAGAUGAAAGUCUUGGACAUAACAGCAACAUGGGCAGUGAUUCAGGCACCAUGGGAAGUGAUUCAGAUGAAGAGAAAAAGGCAGAAAGAGCAUCCCCAGAGCCAGAACUGAAUCUCAGGCCAUAUCAAAUGGAAGUUGCCCAGCCAGCUUUGGAGGGAAAGAAUAUCAUUAUAUGCCUCCCUACAGGGAGCGGGAAAACCAGAGUGGCCGUUUACAUUGCCAAGGAUCACUUGGACAAGAAGAAAAAAGCAGCUGAACUGGGAAAAGUUAUCGUCCUCGUCAAUAAGGUACCACUAGUUGAACAGCUCUUCCGUAAAGAGUUUCAAAAAUUUUUGAAGAAAUGGUAUUGCAUUACGAGAGUAAGUGGUGAUACCCAAAUGAAAAUAUCAUUUCCAAAAUUUGUCAAAUCCUAUGACAUUAUCAUCAGUACAGCUCAAAUCCUUGAAAACUCCCUUUUAAACUCAGAAAAAGGAGAAGAUGAUGGUGUCCAGUUGUCAGACUUUUCCCUCAUCAUCAUUGAUGAAUGCCACCACACCAACAAAGAAGCAGUCUAUAAUAACAUCAUGAGGCGUUAUUUGAAACAGAAGUUGAAAAACAAUAAGCUCAGGAAAGAAAACAAACCAGUGAUUCCUCUACCUCAGAUCCUGGGACUAACAGCCUCCCCAGGUGUUGGCGGGGCCACCAAGCAAGCCAAAGCUGAAGAACACAUCUUAAAAAUAUGUGCCAAUCUUGAUGCAUUUACUAUUAAAACAGUGAAAGAAAACAUCCGUCAACUUAAAGAACAAAUAAAAGAGCCAUGCAAAAAGUUUGUCAUUGCAGAUGACACCAGACAAGAUCCAUUUAAAGGCAGACUUCUGGAAAUAAUGACAAAGAUUCAAACUUUUUGCCAAAUGAACCCAAUGCCAGAUUUUGGAACUCAACCCUAUGAACAGUGGACCAUUCAAAUGGAAAAAAAAGCUGCAAGAGAAGGAAAUCGCAAAGACCGUCUCUGUACAGAACACUUGAGGAAGUACAAUGAGGCCCUGCAAAUUAAUGACACAAUCCGAAUGAUUGAUGCCUAUAAUCACCUUGAAACUUUCUAUAAAGAUGAGAGAGAAAAGAAGUUUGCAAUCCGAGAAGAUAGUGAUGAGAGUGGUGACAAUAGCGAUGAUGGUGAUGAAGGUGGGAAUGAUGGCAAGAAACCUUUGAAACUGGAUGACACCGAUAAAUUCCUCAUGGAUUUAUUUUUUGAUAACAAGAAAAUGUUGAAGAAACUGGCUGAAAACCCAGAAUAUGAAAAUGAAAAGCUGACCAAAUUAAGAAAUACCAUAAUGGAACAGUAUACAAGGACUGCGGGGUCAGCAAGAGGAAUAAUUUUCACAAAAACACGCCAGAGUGCAUAUGCCCUUUCCCAGUGGAUUACUGAAAAUGAAAAAUUUGCAGAAGUAGGAGUCAAAGCCCACCAUCUGAUUGGAGCUGGACACAGCAGCGAAUUUAAGCCCAUGACACAGAAUGAACAAAAAGAAGUCAUUAGUAAAUUUCGCACAGGAAAAAUAAAUCUACUUAUCGCUACCACAGUGGCAGAAGAAGGCCUGGAUAUUGAAGAAUGCAAUAUCGUUAUUCGUUAUGGUCUUGUCACUAAUGAAAUAGCCAUGGUCCAGGCCCGUGGUCGAGCCAGAGCCGAUGAGAGCACCUACGUCCUGGUUGCCCACAGCGGCUCCGGAGUUGUUGAACGUGAGACAGUUAAUGACUUCCGAGAGCAAAUGAUGUAUAAAGCUAUAGACCGUGUUCAAAAUAUGAAGCCAGAGGAGUAUGCUCACAAGAUUUUGGAAUUGCAGAUGCAAAGUAUAAUGGAAAAGAAAAUGAAAUUCAAGAGAAGUAACGCAAAGCUUUGCAAGGAAAACCCAUCGUUAAUAAGUUUCCUCUGCAAAAACUGCAGUGUGGUCGCCUGCACUGGAGACUAUAUCCACGUGAUUGAGAAAAUGCACCAUGUCAAUAUGACACCAGAAUUCAAGGAACUCUACAUUGUGAGAGAGAACAAAGCACUGCAAAAGAAGUUUGCAGACUAUCAAACAAAUGGCGAGAUCAUCUGCAAAACAUGUGGCCAGGCUUGGGGAACGAUGAUGGUGCACAAAGGCUUAGAUUUGCCUUGUCUCAAAAUAAAGAAUUUUGUAGUGUCUUUCAAAAGUAAUGCAACAAAGAAACAAUACAAAAAAUGGGUAGAAUUACCUAUCACAUUUCCUGAUCUGGACUAUUCAGAAUAUUGUUUGUUUAGUGAUGAAGAUUGACAUUUGGUUGAAGAUUCUUUUAAAACAUUGUGAACUUAACACUUAAUAUGAUUUUGAUUGUUUUUUCUUAUACUAAAGAACUGAUGUAAGAAUUUAAUAAAAUAAUUGUUGUACUUUGAGAUGAGCUGUAUGGAGUAAAACAAUAUAUCAUACUUUUCAUUAUUUAUCUUGUUUAUGGACAGGGGUAAAGAAAUUCUAUCAAUAAUAUUCAUUAGUGUGGAGCAGUAGGGUGGCGAGUACUGUUGAAAAAAUGCAGAGUAUAAAUGAGGGUCUAAGGUACCAAUUUCAAUUCUGUCACUAAUUUUCAAAAUAAAAUAAGCAAAUCAGUCAA